rnacentral:rRNA from 1 species
GACGAACGCUGGCGGCGUGCUUAACACAUGCAAGUCGAACGGAAAGGCCCUGCUUUUGUGGGGUGCUCGAGUGGCGAACGGGUGAGUAACACGUGAGUAACCUGCCCUUGACUUUGGGAUAACUUCAGGAAACUGGGGCUAAUACCGGAUAGGAGCUCCGGCUGCAUGGUGGGGGUUGGAAAGUUUCGGCGGUUGGGGAUGGACUCGCGGCUUAUCAGCUUGUUGGUGGGGUAGUGGCUUACCAAGGCUUUGACGGGUAGCCGGCCUGAGAGGGUGACCGGCCACAUUGGGACUGAGACACGGCCCAGACUCCUACGGGAGGCAGCAGUGGGGAAUAUUGCACAAUGGGCGGAAGCCUGAUGCAGCAACGCCGCGUGCGGGAUGACGGCCUUCGGGUUGUAAACCGCUUUCGGCUGGGAAGAAGCGUGAGUGACGGUAAUUGGUAAAGAAGCACCGGCUAACUACGUG